rnacentral:tRNA from 1 species
GGCACCAUGGCCUAAUGGUAAGGCGUUGCUUUCCGGUUAGAUAACCUGGCAAAGACUGUGGGUUCGAGUCCCACUGGUGUCG